rnacentral:rRNA from 1 species
UGCCAGCCGCCGCGGUAAUACGGAGGAUCCAAGCGUUAUCCGGAUUUAUUGGGUUUAAAGGGUGCGUAGGCGGGAUAAUAAGUCAGUGGUGAAAUCUUCCAGCUUAACUGGGAAACUGCCAUUGAUACUGUUGUUCUUGAGUUUGGUUGAAGUAGGCGGAAUGAGGCAUGUAGCGGUGAAAUGCAUAGAUAUGCCUCAGAACACCGAUUGCGAAGGCAGCUUACUAAGCCAAUACUGACGCUGAGGCACGAAAGCGUGGGGAGCGAACAGGAUUAGAUA